AGCCUCCGGCCAGCAGCCAUGUGAGUGAGUUUAGGAGCAGAUCCUCCAGCCGUCACCAAUCCUUCAGAUGGGACGGCAGCCCUGGCUGACAUCUUGACUGCAACUGUGUGACAGACUCUGAACCAGGACCACCUUGAGGAAUUCCUGACCCUCAGAAACUGUGUCUCUGGAUCAACAUGAGCACUCUCCAAGGAGCUGUUCCCAAGAAGCCCAAUCUACAGUUGAAUCUGAUUUAGAAUGUGGCACAAAUGAGCUUGUGUGAGUUCCAGAGCCAGGCUUUCAGAGGCCCUGCGGCAUCUAAUCUCCCUCUCUUGGAAUGCUGCCCCGAGCCCAUCAUGUAUGGAAGUCAAUGCUGGGAGAUGAGAGUCCACAUGGAGGAGAACCAAAGUGCCCCAGCUGGCAUACAGCACUAGGCAUGUGAAUGAGGCUAUCUUGAACCUUCCAGCCCAGCUAA